AUUAGCUUUUCAGCCAAAAUUGCACAUUAUUUUUGGUAAUAACAUGAUUCGAAACAUUCUGCAAGGAAAUGCAGGUUAUUCUACUACAACAUUUCUCAAAUUUUUACUCUAAAAAGAAAAAUGCUUGCCAGAUAUCCAGUUGUAGCCUGCAUUCUUUUUAGUAUACUGUUACUUUACAUAUAAAACUAUAAAAUUAGCAAUGAACUCCUUUACCUAUAGCUUUUUAUCAACUAUACAACCAAAACGGACAUAAAGGGAAAGAGUUCACAUUGUGGCUCAGCAGGUUAAGAACCUGACAUAGUGUCUGUGAGGAUGCAGGUUCAAUCCCUGUCCUUCCUCACUGGGUUAAGGAUUUGGCAUUGCUGCAAGCUGUAGUAUAGGUUGCAGAUGUGGCUUGGAUCCUGUAUUGCUGUGGCUGUGGCAUAGGUUGGCAGCUACAGCUCUGAUUCAACACCUAGGCCAGAAUCUUCCAUAUGCUGCAGGUGCAGCCCUAAAUCACUUUAUUAAGGACGAUCAUUUUAAUAACCAUAAUACUGAUUAGUAAAGAAAUAUCACUAAACAAAGAUGUCCUAUUAGAUAUCUAUUUCUGCAUACUGCUAAUGAGCUACUGCAAAUUAAUUCUUAAAAAGUAGGACUCAUGAUAUAUGUCUUAACCAAAUAAGUGCUGACUCCUAUGGUUUGACUUCUUUUCUGGCUGGUAUAGCUAUACUGCAAAGUGACAUGUAAGAACUCAUUUCUUCCACUAUUUCUCUUUAUGUGAACCAUUGUAAAACCUUCUUUUGAACAGAAUGUCAUGGUAUCAUUUGGCCUCUUCUUCAUACAAAGGUGCUAUUUAUAUGUUAAGCCUGCCUAAGUUCUUUUCCUGUUAGUAUGAUACACAAGGUACAUUACUGAACUGCAAUAUAAUUUCUUGAUGUCAGAUCAUAAUCUCAGUUUAUUAAAUGUUAGAAAGCUAAAGUUUUAUCCUAUUAAAAUAUCUUCAGUGAUGCAUUUUUACUACAAAGCAGAGUUUUGUCCUUAUAACCGAGCAAUAAUAGUGAACAAGAAUGACUGUAAUAUUCAGUGCCCAAGUUUGUGUAUGUUAGUGCCAAAUGAACACUUUAACCAUUGGUAUUUUAAGUGUUUACUGGCAUCAACACAAAUGCAAGCAAGGUCUUAAAUAUAUGUAGCAGUAUCCAAAUAUUAGGUGAUUGUCUAGAUGAGCCUAAAUGUGCUUAUGUUAUUCUCAUAGUGAUGCUGAAAUGGGAAUUGGUAUUAUACUCAUUGACAAGUGAGGAAAUUGAGAAGUUAAGUGACUGUCCUAAGAUCACACAGCCAGUAAGUGGCAGAGCCAGGAUUCAGUCUGGUGAGUAUCAGUGUUCUCAUUCAUCAGAAGAGACAAUUGGGAGCUCCUGUCGCAGCACAGAGGAAACAAAUCCGACUAGGAACCAUGAGGUUGCAGGUUCGAUCCCUGGCCUCGCUCAGUGGGCUAAGGAUCCAGCAUCGCCGUGAGCUGUGGUGUAGGUCCCAGACGUGGCUCGGAUCUGACAUUGCUGUGGCUGUGGUAUAGGCCAGCAGCAACAGCUCCGACUGGACCCUUAGCCUGGGAACCUCCAUGUGCCAUGGGUGAGGCCCUAAAAAGGCAAAAAACAAAAAACAAGAAGGGGCAAUUGGAAGAACAGUAAUGUCAGCAUGACUGCAUUCAUUAGUUGCUUAAAUGCACCUGCUUAUUUUUGUAUGUUCCCCUUUUAAAGGAAAAUAUAUAGAAAUAGAAUUUUCAAAAUUACUUUCAAAUGCCUACUUAAUUGAGGGCACCGCUAAUAUAUGUUAAAUUUUUUACUAAAAUAAAUAUUUCAAAGGGUAAGAUCCCUCUUUUUCUUUUUUUAAGAAAAUUAAGUAGGCAGACUUAUUAUUUGACUAAUCAGGGAAAUAAUUAGAGAACUCAUUAUACAAAAAUACACGUGUGUAUAUAUAUUUGAAAAUCAGGUAUCUUAUUUCAAAAGCAAUAAAAAAAACUGAAAAGAGGAUCUGGGAUUUCUUAUAUUUGUCGUAAGUAGAGCAAUUUCCGUUUGAGAAUAUACUUCAAAGUGUUUCUCAAAACUUCUCCUUUUUAGGAGUUUCCUGGUGGCUCAGUGAGUUAAGGAUCUGGUGUUGUCACUAUUAUUGCUCAGGUCACUACUGUGCCACAGAAACUUCUGCAUGCCACAGGCACGGCCAAAACAAACAAACUACCACUUUUUGGGGGGUUUUCAUUUUUUAAAAUUUUAUUGAAGUAUAGUUUAUUUACAGUGUUAAUUUCUGCUGUACAACACAUAACUACCACUUUUAAAGUCAUUCAUUCAUUGACUUUUUCGCUUAUUCCUUCAUUUGACAUUUUAAAAAAAAUUUUUCCUGAAAUAAUAGUACUGCGUAUUCGUUAUGAAAUUUAGAAAAGCCAUUAAAGUACAAACAAGGAAAUGAAAAUGCCCUUUUCCUUUCUGUACUCAAAGCUAAUGACCAUUUCCUGUUUGGAGGCAUUUUCCUUCAUAAAGAUAUCCUCCCUGUGGUCAGGCCCCUUAGGCAGCCUUGCUUCUUGCUGCUGAGUGUGACUCAGCAUUGGUCACCACUCCUCAAAGUAAUAUCUACCUUUACAAAAUAUAAGGGAAAAAUAAAGAGUGGUUUCCAGGAGAAGGACGCAAUAUACACUGCCCAGAAAAACAUAAUAGAGAAUCUCCAUCAGACACCUGGUCCUUUGCCACACCCCUAAUUCCUGUGAACUGCCACACUUCCUUGCCCAUCUUUAGUCCUGCCCUUGGCUCCAGCCUCUCUUCCCUCUGCAUCCCCACACACAGCUCUUUGUUCAAUGAAUAAGGACCCAUCUUAGCAUUCUCUAUAUUUAUAAGCCAGUAGAGUCUUGCAAGAAACUGCAUUUGUUGUUGUUGGUUUUUUUCCUCUGAUAACAGAUCAUUUUUUUUCUUUCUCAUUCAGAUAUGUAUGCAAAUAUAUAUUCACAUACAUAUUAUCUAUGCAUUUUAAAAAAUUGUACCUGCUGUUCUUGGAAGGGCUUUUUCUCCCACUCGAUGCAUUUUAUUUUCCCUGACAACGAAGUGUUCUUUGUAAACAUGGCUUUUAAUAGUUCAUCUAUGACAAGAUUUCAUUAUCUGAUACACUAUAAUGUAUUUGACUAGUACUCUAUUGCUGGAUAUUUUGGUGGUUAAUUUUUGCUGUCAUAUAUAACACUACAGUAAACAUCCAAUGUAGCUCCAAUUAUUUUCUUGGUGAACAUCUCUAAUUAUUUUAUAGAUUAAAUUUUCAAACUUGGAAUUUCAGGGUCAAAUUGAAUGAGCAUUUGGAAAUUUGAUAUUAAUUUCCUUCAGAAAAGUGUUAGCAUGAAACAUUCACUGAGCACUUACUGGUACCAGGCGCCAUGUUCCCUGCUGAGGAGUCAAGAAUAUGUAAAAUGUAUUCUCUGUUAUUGAAGAGCUUGUAGUUGAGUAUUUGCUCUAAUUGGAUAGUAGGCCUCUGCUACUUUCUCUAAAAAGUCUAUUUGAAUUUGCACUCAAUGAUAUGGUUGAGAAGCUGCUGGCUCUGGGCCUAAAUGUAUUGCUUAAAUAUA
rnacentral:lncRNA from 1 species